ensembl:lncRNA
AAAAUGUUGAGGGUGCAAGCACAGUGGGAUUUGGGUUCCCUCCACUGCAAUCCAAUGGACUUUAGACAAAUCACUUUGGGUAUGUCUAUAUUAAGAGAGUGAAGGCUCAAAACACCUCAACAAUUCCUCUGGGGCCUCUCUAGGCCAGGAAGAAGAAGCAAGAGAGAAGUGCAAAGCAAACUUUAGCUCACUGCUGGCGUUUGGGAGUGUAUUUCCUUUUGAUAUAACAUCUCAGGCAGAGUUCUGCAUCAGCAUUUCCAUAUUUUAUGAGCCUCAGACUGUUAUAUCCCCGCAACACCACCCAAGCUCACCUAAUUGGAAUGAAAUCAAAAAUAAAAACCAAAAAACCAUAACCUUUUGAUGUUCCCAAGUGGAAAGUGGUAUAAAAGCCCCCAAGAAAUACCUUGCAUGGCAUGAUAGUCACUGAAUGUUUUUUUUUUCAUACUGAAUGGAAAGAUGGAAUUCCCAAAGGGUAUCAACUGCAACCCAGCACAGCAGAAGUGUAAUUUGUCAAACAACAACACAGUGAAAUAUUUCACAGCUGAAACUAUAUUAACAUGACAGAAUCUGAAGCCAGUUAACACUUCUCAUUAGAAUUUUACUUCAGCAUAACUCUUGAGCAAAAUGCCCUUAGCCCAAACAAACAUGUUUUGUGUUUCUUGAAACACCACAAAUGUUGCCAUCUACCUCCUUUCCCUGUCAUGCUCCCUUCGUGAGAAAAGUUCAAAGCCACAGGUUAAUAUUUGGGUCUCUCUUUGAGUAGCAGAGGUCAAGACAUCUACCAGCCAUGCAUUCCGAAGCAGAACUCUUGCAGUCUACUUGCAGCCAUACAGCGAGUAGCCAGUUUUUCUCUUGGACUGUAAUUACAUCUCUUAGGGAGAUAAAUCAACAUUAAUGCAGGGUCAGGCUAUGACACGGGAACUCAUCAUAACAUACAGUUUGCUCCUAAGUUCAGGUUCUGCGUGACUCAAAUUGAAUAACAAAUAAUAUAUGGAAAGUGGCACGCUGUAUGUAAAAAGCUUGUGAGCUGAAGAAGCAGCUACAUUCACAGCAAAUCUCGAGCACUGUCAGUCAUCCAUUGAGCUCAGCUACUUGGUGUGACAGUCAUUACAAGACGGGAGUUUUACAGGCACUUAAAUGCUGUCCUCAAACAGUUACUUGCUGACAAAUCAACAGUGUGUGGUCAGGACAGAACAAAGUGUUUCUUGAAGAGAUGAUGAAUCAACAUCAGAGUCUGCCCAAGCAUAAAGGACCAGUGCAAAACACUUUCUGACUUCCUGUGGAUGCUAAGCGCUACCUAAAGUCCUUCUGUGGAUCCAACAAGUGGAUCGAUGCAAUAGGAAAGCAGAAGCAUCAGAGGAUGAAAGCUGGCAAGCCUCCCUGGGCCAUUGAAGGCUUUUUGGGCUCAGCUGCUUGCUCUGUCAGAGACAACCAUCCCACAACAUCAGCAGGAGAGGCACUCAGCCCCAGCUCCCUCACUGCCAAUCCAGCAGUGCUGGGCCAAAAGGGCCGUCCAGCCAUUAAAAGGCAGAUCCCACAGACCACCCCAAAACUAAUCCUGUUGUUUUGUCACCU